rnacentral:tRNA from 1 species
ACCUGGCUGCCUCAGUUGGAAGAGCGUGUGACUCCUGAUCUCAGGGUUGUGGGUUCAAGCCCCACGUUGGGUA